CAGCCGCCGCGGUAAUACAGAGGGUGCGAGCGUUAAUCGGAUUUACUGGGCGUAAAGCGUGCGUAGGCGGCUUUUUAAGUCGGAUGUGAAAUCCCUGAGCUUAACUUAGGAAUUGCAUUCGAUACUGGGAAGCUAGAGUAUGGGAGAGGAUGGUAGAAUUCCAGGUGUAGCGGUGAAAUGCGUAGAGAUCUGGAGGAAUACCGAUGGCGAAGGCAGCCAUCUGGCCUAAUACUGACGCUGAGGUACGAAAGCAUGGGGAGCAAACAGGAUUAGAUACCCGCGUAGUCCCUGUCUCUUAUAA
rnacentral:rRNA from 1 species